GGGGAAACCCGAGCUCCCAACAAAACGGUUCCAUCUUUGGCUAGGCCUUUGGUAUUUCAAGGCGCUGCCGGUGGGGAGAGAUGCCGCGUGCCUGAGAGGCUCUGGGAGGCACCAAAGAAGGCCCAGAGAGGUUUAACAACUUCCUCAGAAUCACACAGCUUCCAAAUGGUUGGGUUGGGUUUACAUUUAGGCGGUCUUGCUCCAGAGCCAGUGCUCCUAACCUUUGCAAGCCACGAACCUCAAGAAAGUGGAGAAGGAAACGCUGGGAAAUCUGGAAGUCAGACAUGAGAGCUAAUGCUGGCAGCUGUUGGGAUGUCCUCUUCCAGGAAUGGUGAUGAGUUUCCCUGGAUCCAGCCCUGGCUUGGCUGAGGUCCUUGGAACAGGAGAAAGGGUUGGAAAACAAAGAUCACUUUUCUCUGGCCAAAUGGAAUCACCCAACAAAGUACCUUCCUGAUGGGCCAGCUAUUUCAGAUGAUGAAGGUUUAAGAAGCAGCAUCAUCAGCGAACUGUGUUUUGAAGAUUUGAGGGAAGGGCUGACCUCAGGAUUUUAUACUAGGAAGGCCCUAUCUCAAGUGGCUCUGGUCCAUGCAAACAGAUGGAAACGGGUGUGGGGAAGCACAGGCCUCCUACUCAUGUUAAGAGAGCUGCUCAGAGGCAGGAAUCCAGAACCAGGAAUGUCCCCAGUGGCUGCCCAAGUUGCUGACCUCCAUAACAGCAGACAAAAUUGGAAGCAAGAGUGAUUUUGGAGGAGUCACACUUAGAUGUUUCCCUUACCUAUUUCUGUUCUGGAAAUUUAAAAAUCUUACUUCUCGUGACAGUCCUACAUGAAAAAUUAAAAAUCACAAGGAUUCAUGGAUGGAAAACUGAGACUCAGAGAAUGAUCACAUUCACAUCGUAAUAAAUCAGCAAUAGAGUGAGUGAUUGUUCCUUGGUAAGAAAUCAACUCUAAACUCAGUUGGAAACCUUUGCCAAUAUUACUUAACACAUGACAAUCUGGUGUGACUCAUUUUUCUUGACAUUAUGCAAAUAAAGGAAACAAGACUGAGUGGCCUUCUGUCCGGAGAGCAGGAAAUGAAGGCUGUCUGGGGCCAC
ensembl:lncRNA LINC02028 long intergenic non-protein coding RNA 2028